UACAGAGGGGGCAAGCGUUUGUUCGGAAUUAUUGGGCGUAAAGGGCGCGUAGGCGGUGCGGUAAGUCACUUGUGAAAUCUCACAGCUUAACUGUGAAACUGCAUUGGAUACUAUUCGGCUAGAGAGUUGGAGGGGGGACUGGAAUUCUUGGUGUAGCAGUGAAAUGCGUAGAGAUCGGAAAGAACACCAACGGCGAAAGCACUCUGCUGGGCCGACACUGACACUGAGAGACGAAAGCUAGGGGAGCGAAUGGG
rnacentral:rRNA from 1 species